UACGUAGGGUGCAAGCGUUGUCCGGAAUUAUUGGGCGUAAAGAGCUCGUAGGUGGUUUGUCGCGUUGUUCGUGAAAACUCACAGCUUAACUGUGGGCGUGCGGGCGAUACGGGGCAGACUAGAGUACUGCAGGGGAGACUGGAAUUCCUGGUGUAGCGGUGGAAUGCGCAGAUAUCAGGAGGAACACCGGUGGCGAAGGCGGGUCUCUGGGCAGUAACUGACGCUGAGGAGCGAAAAGCGUGGGGGAGCGAACAGG
rnacentral:rRNA from 1 species